rnacentral:lncRNA from 1 species
CCAAAACAUACGUUUACCUAAAGUCUAACAAUUAUCUUAUUUCAUUGUGAAAAUGCCAAAAUACCACUUUCCAUCUGUAUUCUCUAAUGCCUUUGUGUUUCCUCCUCAUUACAUCAAUGGGUGGCCGUGUGUCGCCUCACCUCACUUUGUGUUUCUCAUGGAGCUUUCAGUUAACCAGGCUGGAACCAAUAAUUUUGGUAGCUCUUCCCCCUCCAGAAAUCCAACUCUUACUGUACAUCCAUUUUUAAAAAUGUGUUAUUGAUACUUCAGGGGACUUCAGAAAUCCACUCCGUUGUGUCUACAGCCAAGGAAAGGAGUUUGCCUGUCACCAGGACAAAACUUCUUCUCAUGGCCAUCAGGUUGCGUGACUGCAGAGGGUGACCUACCUUAGCCUGCCUGCAUGCCAGGGGAUGAUCUCCAUCUGUUGGACACAUGUCAUGUGAGCUGCUGACCUGCACUGCAGUAGCACCCUGCAGCACCCGCAAGAUGCUCCGCUGGCUGCUGUGUGAUACGGAGCAAGGAGCACCUGCAGCAGCCUGGAGGAAAAUGGGUCACUCUUGUAGGUACCUUAAAAUAUGAAGGAAAAUUCCUCCUGAAAGCUGUGGAGCUGGAAGCAGUUAUUUAAGUCCUUUUUAUGCAGAAGGGCUGCUCUUGCCUUAGUUCACAGAAAUUAAUGCUGAAGGCACCUGGACUCAAAGGAUGGAAGCUCUGCUCGCUUUUCUCAAGUUGGUUAUUCUGAUAUUUCUGGUGCAUCUUGAAUAUGUAGAAGCAGCAAAACUUGUCUCAAGGAAUAAAGGCAUCAGCACAGGAAGAGGACAGAUGGUGCAUGUUCCUGAAACUGAACCACGGCUCCAUGUUCCCAAAGAAAGUGAAUCCCACAAGGUAGAUGUGGUUUUAAAUGAACUGGGGACACUGACAGUUGAGAAAAGAAGGAAUGCCUCAGGUGAGUGAUUGUCCUGUGGGGUGUCAGACCUGGCCAUCCUUGGUCAAGUUGGCCAUGGGAAAUCUCUCCCCAGGAGGGAUGAGUUGCAGUGGUAUGAAGAGGAGCUGGUGGAGGAGCUCUCUCAGGCUUCCCGCAUUUGCACAAACUGCUUCAUGGUUAUGUUAUGUGCUGAUGCUGUCUUUCUGUUCAUUUCGUUUAAAGGUAGCUUUUAAAAGAAGAGCCUGGAGCAGUUUUGUGCUCACAGGAUGCUCUCUGCUCCUUGCAAUCCUGAGGCCUCAAAACCCACUUCACUUGCCUGGGGGUGCUGAGAUGCUGUACGACUGGCUUUCCUGGGCUGCACUCCAGCUGCGCAGUGUCUUGUGUUAAACUAAUUUAUUCUCUCCAAAGAGAUUACUGGCAUUUAAAUGGUUAUUAAUUAAGGAGAAUUUGUGUUUUUCUCACCUGAUUUUUUUUACAUGCUUGGAAAUAGCAUUUAUUCACGCAAGUUUCUGCUGAAAAACGACUUAUUAAUUCACCUCAGCCUGUGGCCAGCAGUCUUUUGAAGCAAAAGUGCAAGGACUGGUGUAGGUAAGUUACAUGUGUUGCACAGGGAAGAUGUUUUCCUGGCUCACACUGGUAGAGGAUGAUAUUCUCUGAACUGUGAGAGUUCCUAAACCUUCCAGAAGACUUCUGCUUGAUUUUCAAGCUUUAUUAUGGUAAGUUGACAUAUUUUUUUAUUUGUUCCUAGAAGAAUUGGUCUUGGAGUGAGGAAAAAAAUACAGAUUAAAUGAGAGUUAGAAUCAUAAGUUUACCAGUUUGCUGGAAGUGUGCAUCUAUGUAUUUUUUUUCAAAUUUCUGCACUGCAAUAGAUUUUUUUUCUUAAUUCCAGAAUGUAUUUGGAGUGUUUCUUUAUCUCUGAUUCCUGUAGGCUGUCUGCAACUACUCUAGGCUGAGGAUGAGCUUGAAAAGAAUACAUAUAUGCUCCUGGAAUAUAAAUUAAUCCUUAACUUCUCCAAGUUAAAUUGGUGAUAAUAUUUUUUACCUUCUCAGAUACCAGUUAGUGUCACAAAUAAACCCUGAGUUGUUGUGAAGGAUCAUCUGAUUUCCUAGAUUAAUCCAAAAGAUAUGCUUUCAGAUCUUGAACCCUUCUCCUUAACCUCUGUUCCAAACAUAGUUUAUGCUGAGAUGAAGCAGAGACAAAUACACAAUAGAGCCUAAAUAUUGCUGCCUAAUAGGAACAACUGAGGGGUGUGUGCUAUAUCUUCUCAUAGCAACCAUAGGCCACAUUUCAGAUAUGGGGACUGAAUGGAUCCCAUGCAAUAGUUUCCAUGGUUGCACAGGGUUUGGUGUACCCAGUGACAUUAAUAUUCAUGUCCUUAAUAAAAUAACUUGUACAAAGACAAUUCUUCCCUGUUUAUUUCCUAUCUUAAACAAUUAUUCUGUAGAUGUUCAAAUGGAUUUAAGAUAUGAAAGUUACAUUAAAACGUACAAUUUUUUUUUUAGCAUGGACUGAGCCUUUCAUACUUAGGUUUACUGGAUGGUAGACUACCAUAGAAAUACUUCCUCCCAUAUGUACAAGGAAGCUGGACUCAAGUAUUGCUCACUUUGGAAAAAUGCCCCUGCAAGUUCCUGAAUUUCUUUGGCACGCAUAACAGAGUGGACAGAAGCAUCUCAAUCUUCACGUGUGGUGGUGUUGGGCCAGGUACAGCCUGCCUACAUGGAUCAUGUCUCCAGAGACACUGCUUACUGCUUUGGGUAAAGCAGUGGCAGUGGAGAAGAAGCAUUUACCUGAAUAUCUGCAAAAUGCAAGCAGAAGGAAAGCUGUGGUUCAAGGUGCUGAAGAAAUGCCAAAGGACAAGCUAAUGCUGCAUGUUGCUAGCCACCUGCUGCAGGAUACUUCACCCAUUUGGAGAACCGUGCAUAGAACACUACCACCUUCAGUCAGCAGGAUGUGUCUGAUACGAGAGCUGCUACCUGCCACCUGAUGUGUCUCACCCUGGGAGACAGGACGAUGAAGUAAUGGAGCCUGGCUGUCUGCAGCCAGGGCUGCUGUACUACAUCCAAAGCAAGCUUGAAGUCAGCAAGUGCUGCAUUAAUCUUUCUGGGAGUGUUUGUUUUGCUUGUUUUGUUAGGCUACAUUUCAAGCAACUGAUAAUGUGUUCGUGAGCAGUUCUCCUGUUGCAGCCCAUUUUUCAAAGGAAGUGUGAAGACCGAUGCUCCAAAGGUUUGGUGGAACAUGAGUGUGAAGGGUUAUGUAUGAUCAUGCUUGAAAUGUGUGAGCUGACAGUGCUUUCAAGUGCAUGUUAAUAUGUCUGUGCAGGUACUUUUGGGAUAGAGAGGUUAUGGCUUUGUGUGAAGUCUGAUCAGUGUUUUAAAAAAUACACCUUUGUCAUGGUUCUUCUUUAUGGAUGCUAAUUGUGCUAGUGCAGCUACCUCACUGCAAUUGAGUUGUGUAUUUAUUUACUUACUGAUAGUCAAGUCUUCUAACUAAUCAAGGCUAAACUCUGAAGCUUUCUGAGGAUUAAACAAUAAAUGCUUUAUUGCUUAAAGCUUUUUGAGCAUUGAAAUGCCUGAGAUUUUUGGAGGUAAAUGUCAG